rnacentral:rRNA from 1 species
CGCUAGCGGCAGGCUUAAUACAUGCAAGUCGUGGGGCAGCAGGGGUAGCAAUACCCGCUGGCGACCGGCAAACGGGUGCGGAACACGUACGCAACCUUCCUUUAACUGGAGAAUAGCCCCUCGAAAGAGGGAUUAAUACUCCGUAACAUACUGAUAAGGCAUCUUAUUAAUAUUAUAGCCUUCGGGCGGUUAAAGAUGGGCGUGCGCCUGAUUAGAUAGUUGGCGGGGUAAUGGCCCACCAAGUCUGCGAUCAGUAACUGGUGUGAGAGCACGACCAGUCACACGGGCACUGAGACACGGGCCCGACUCCUACGGGAGGCAGCAGUAAGGAAUAUUGGUCAAUGGACGCAAGUCUGAACCAGCCAUGCCGCGUGGAGGAUUAAGGCCCUCUGGGUUGUAAACUCCUUUUAUCUGGGAAGAAAUGCCAUUUUUCUAAAUGGUUUGACGGUACCAGAGGAAUAAGCACCGGCUAACUCCGUGCCAGCAGCCGCGGUAAUACGGAGGGUGCAAGCGUUAUCCGGAUUCACUGGGUUUAAAGGGUGCGUAGGCGGGUAAGUAAGUCCGUGGUGAAAUCUCUGAGCUUAACUCAGAAACUGCCGUGGAUACUAUUUGCCCUGAAUAUUGUGGAGGUGUGCGGAAUAUGUCAUGUAGCGGUGAAAUGCUUAGAUAUGACAUAGAACACCAAUUGCGAAGGCAGCUCACUACACAAUUAUUGACGCUGAGGCACGAAAGCGUGGGGAUCAAACAGGAUUAGAUACCCUGGUAGUCCACGCCCUAAACGAUGAUUACUCGACAUCAGCGAUACACUGUUGGUGUCUGAGCGAAAGCA